UACGUAGGGUCCGAGCGUUGUCCGGAAUUAUUGGGCGUAAAGGGCUCGUAGGCGGUUUGUCACGUCGGGAGUGAAAACUCAGGGCUCAACCCUGAGCGUGCUUCCGAUACGGGCAGACUAGAGGUAUGCAGGGGAGAACGGAAUUCCUGGUGUAGCGGUGGAAUGCGCAGAUAUCAGGAGGAACACCGGUGGCGAAGGCGGUUCUCUGGGCAUUACCUGACGUGAGGAGCGAAAGCAUGGGGAGCGAACAGG
rnacentral:rRNA from 1 species